rnacentral:rRNA from 1 species
GGUCUGAGAGGAUGAUCAGUCACACUGGAACUGAGACACGGUCCAGACUCCUACGGGAGGCAGCAGUGGGGAAUAUUGGACAAUGGGCGAAAGCCUGAUCCAGCCAUGCCGCGUGUGUGAAGAAGGUCUUCGGAUUGUAAAGCACUUUAAGUUGGGAGGAAGGGUUGUAGAUUAAUACUCUGCAAUUUUGACGUUACCGACAGAAUAAGCACCGGCUAACUCUGUGCCAGCAGCCGCGGUAAUACAGAGGGUGCAAGCGUUAAUCGGAAUUACUGGGCGUAAAGCGCGCGUAGGUGGUUUGUUAAGUUGGAUGUGAAAUCCCCGGGCUCAACCUGGGAACUGCAUCCAAAACUG